GACGAACCGUGCAAACGUUAUUCGGAAUCACUGGGCUUAAAGGGCGCGUAGGCGGUGUGUCAAGUCAGGCGUGAAAGCCCCGGGCUCAACCUGGGAACCGCGCUUGAGACUGGCACGCUAGAGUUCGGGAGAGGAUGGUGGAAUUCCCAGUGUAGAGGUGAAAUUCGUAGAUAUUGGGAAGAACACCGAUGGCGAAGGCAGCCAUCUGGACCGACACUGACGCUGAGGCGCGAAAGCGUGGGGAGCAAACAGG
rnacentral:rRNA from 1 species